rnacentral:rRNA from 1 species
UACAGAGGUCUCAAGCGUUGUUCGGAUUCAUUGGGCGUAAAGGGCGCGUAGGCGGCGGGGUAAGUCGGGUGUGAAAUCUCAGAGCUCAACUCUGAAAUGGCACUUGAUACUGCUCUGCUAGAGGACUGGAGAGGAGAUUGGAAUUCACGGUGUAGCAGUGAAAUGCGUAGAUAUCGUGAGGAAGACCGGUGGCGAAGGCGGAUCUCUGGACAGUUCCUGACGCUGAGGCACGAAGGCCAGGGGAGCAAACGGGG